rnacentral:lncRNA from 1 species
CUAUGAGGCAUGAGUGUGCCUGAGUUGUGUCAACUGUUAAUUUUGGACACUGGAUAAAAUCUGCUACAGAAAGAAGAUUUUUGUAAAUCCAAAUGUUUAAUAAAGUGAUAGAUAAGGGGGUCACUUACAAUAUAUUCUAACUUGCAACCUAUAAUUCUAAAUUGCAAUUUUAAGAUUUGAAAGAAAAAAAUUUCAACUUAAAAUUUUAGGUUAAAAUAGUAAAAUUACUAAUUCAUCCAUUAAAAGUUAAACCC